GCCACCCUCAAGGUGACUUCAUUUCAGACUGGAGCUCAGCCGGCUGAGGUGGUGGGUCUGAGGAGCCUCUGAGGAAUGGGACUGAGGGAGACAUAGAGCUCCCUAAUGCUGAAUCUCUUCCCUGUGCUGAAGAAAACUCCAGACCUCCCAGCCACUGGAACUAAAAUUGGGAUUCAUUUAUUUGAUUUGAGAGUCUUUCUCUUGGAUCAAAACAGCAUCCAGAGGUCCGGCCUUCAGAUGAAACGAUCUUCAAGCAAGCAGACACAGCUUGCGCUCCCUCAGGACUGACCAGAGGCUGUGCUUUGGGGAACUCGGACCACUGCGAAAAAUCUGAGAAGUGAUGAUCGUUCCAGGACUGAUCUGACCACCCGGGGCGUCCAGCAUGAUUGGUCGGGGUCCUGCCCGCACCCUCUCACCCCUCCACGCAGAGGCACGGUGGGAGAGGCCCCUGCCCACCCCGGAUGAGCCUGAGACUCCAGCCUGAAAUGAAGUUGCUGAAAUGAGCCCUUUCCCCAGCCGUUCAGCAGCCUAGCUGUUUUACCACUGAAAUAAAGUGUCCAAUUUAUCCUGCCAUUUUGAGGAAGCUGUUUUCAGCUGAGACUCCAGCUGGAUUUAUUUUUAAAAAAGAUUAUUCUGCAGACCAUGGCCAGAACGUGCUGAGAGGCACCCUGGGCAGUUUUCCCUCUGGCCGGCUCUUAUCCGUCCUCCCCAGCAUGGGGAGAUGAGGCUGCCUCAGGCGGCCCAGGCCAGGCAGCUGCCAGGGAGGCUGAGCAGGUCUGGGAUGUGCCAGGCAGCUCUAUGCCCAGCUCAGCUGGGAACCUGACCCGGAAAGGGCUGGAACCCAAGCCUCACCCUCUCCUGCUCUAUUCACUGUGGUCAAGGGAGGAAAGAGACCUGGCGGCUGGGCUUGCAGACAGGCUUCUUGCCCCCAUUCCUCUUCUCAGUUCUCGUGUAUGCCUGGUGGGGUGUUGACAGGCCCCACUGUGGCUGUGCUGUUUGGCAGACUGCCCUGAGUCUCCCCAGUGCCCAUCUCCCUGUAGUCCACGCUGCCCUGGCCUUCCUUGGCCUCCUGAUGGCCCCUGAGUUUACUGGAGUCAAAGGGCCAACCUGCGGACUCAGCACCCUUUCUGCUCCAGGUCUGAGGUUUCUGCUGUGAGUGGUGGCACGCGUCACACCAGUUCUUAAAUAUCUUGAAUAUGACCCUGCUGGGAGCUGCCCUUGUUCUAAGACUGGGGAUGGGGGCAGAGGAGGCAGGAAGGGGAUGGAGCUGCUUGUGGUGGAGAAUGGAGUCCCCGACCUUCUCUCGAGGCCAGCAUCAGCAGACUUCUCCUGGAAAGGGUCAGAGAGCAAAUAUUUCAGACUUUGUGGGCCAUAUGGUAUCUCUCACAACUACUAAAUGCAGGCAUUGUAGCAAACCUUCCAUAGACAGUCGCUAAAAGCGUGGGCUUGGCUCUGUUCAUUGUGGCCUUGUGUUCCCAUAACACUUUCUUUACAGACGCGGGUGGUAGGCUGGAUUUGGUCCCAGGUUCCUGCCCACACCAGCCCCAACAUGGUGCAUGCUGCAGGAAGGCCAAGGAGGGGGCCCUCCCAGUGUGACAAGUGCACAGGCUGUGAGGAGCAUGAGGAUGGCUGAUGCCGCUCUCUGGGAGUGGGAGAAACCUGCUUUUCUGCAUCCUAGCUUGUGACUUGUCACGUGCCCAUAAUGGGACACUCUGCCUGCCUCUCGCCAUGGCCCCCCGCUGGCCACCUCCUUAGAGUUCACAGUCCAGAAAUACGAGGAGCCCGUGGUGGGAGGGGUCCUCACUGCCUCUUUCUCCUGCUUUGUCUGCUUCCCACCCAUGAAACCCUCUCCCUAUUCACACCCAUUGACUGGCUUCUUUAAAUUAGAGGAAAUUUAAUUCCAUACAACAUGCAUGUAUCAGAUAUCUACCUUGUGUUAUGCAGUGAGCUGUGCAUUGGGGGUACAGCCAGGAAACAAAACUGUAGUAACAGCAGCAAGGUCAAGACAGUAGUGAAGUCACUGCUGAAGGCACAGCACUGGCUGGGGAGCUGGGGCCAAGCAGGUGGGCCUGGUUGCUAGAGGGUGGGUCUAGCCCCUUCCUGCUGAUCUUCCAGCAAACUGGGCUUCCGCUCCAUUCAGAGCAAAAUAAGGCAUCCGCACGUGGCUCAGUGUGGCCCUGGCCCCCGCUGGGGCACCCUCUGUGCUGUCCCUUACCCCGCAGAGGUGUGUCUGGUGGAGCUUUUCCACUUUCAAUGGCUUUCACACACCGUGGUGCUCUUGGGCCUGUUACUGGCCCAGCCAUGUCACCUACCAGCAAUGCAGCCUUGGAAAUGCGAAGUCAGCUCUCUAAGUCUUGGUUUCUUCACCUGCAGGUGGGGAUCAUCGUUCCUGUUUUGUAGCGUUGCUCUAGGAUGAAAUGAAGUCAUGAGUGUGGAGCUCUUAUGUGGUAUGGAGCUUUCCUGCCACGUGGCAAUCACUCAAUCUGGGGAAAUGGCCAUUGCUGUAGGCUGAACGUUGGUGUCCCCCCAAAUUCCUAUGUUAAAACUAAUGCCCAAAGUGGUGGUCUUAGAAGGUGGGGCCUUUCGGAAUGAUGAGGCAUGAGGCACAGCCCUCAUGGGUGGGAUGAGUGUCCUUAUGAAAGAGGCCUGAGAGAGCCCUCGUGCCCUUUCUACCACCUGAGGACACAGCGAGAAGACGGCUGCUUGUGAAUCGGGACGUGGGCCUGCACCAGACACUGAAUAUACCAGUGCCUUGAUCUCGGACUCCCCAGCCUCC
rnacentral:lncRNA from 10 species